rnacentral:lncRNA from 1 species
UCGAUCGCACAAGGCAGAGGGAAAGGGGUAAACCCUAAUUCUCAAGAAAUCUCCAAAUUGAAAAGGGAAUUGAAGGUUUUUAGGAUGCAUGUAUCAAGAUUAUCGAUCUCCUAAGUGUUCUUCACUAUCAAGAACGUGUCAAGGAGAGGUCAAGCAUAGGAGGAUAACGGGUCAAGAUAAGGCAAGGUGACAAAUACACUUAAUGGAGUACUCGAGGUAAGUGAAUUUCGAUUCACUUUUUAGUAGGUUUAAUAGAUUUUAAUACUUAUAUUUACGAAACAUCAUGAAAGAACAUGUAAUAAUCAGAAGUACAAAGCCAAUAAUGCCUCAUUAUUGAGGAAGGUUGUAUUUAAGCCGAAAGUAAAUUGGUGGGUUUAAACGGGUCGAAUUUUAUGUGCAUAUGUUGCGUAAUGUAAUGAAAUUCGUUAUGGUUAAGACCUUGGGUAGGAAUUUUUAGUCAUUAUGUAAGGGGAACACUUCCCGGACCAUUAGGAACAAGUUUUAUAUGAUUCGGUUGUCGGUUAGUUAAUGAACGGAUUGUUUCAUGUUAGUGUAGGAAAUUUUAUAAGUAUAUGUGUAUAGGAACCCAAAGGGCACGUGGGUUGAAUCAUAGAUUGUCUAUACUAUGUAAAGUUGUGAAUGUGACAUUCCGGCAUAAACCUACAUGUAAAAGAAGCUUGUGUAUAUAUUCGUGAUUAAUUGAUUGUGCGUAGGAAGGAACAUUGGCAUGUAUGAAGGUACGCAUGUAUAUGUAAGUGUGUAUAUAUAUAUAUAUAUGUAUGUAUGUAUGAUAAUAAGUACGUAGGUGUGAAUGUAUGUGUGAAUGAAUGUUCAAUGCUUAAGACAUAUGCAUGAACGUUAUCAAAGUGUUCGAGUAUUUAUGGUUACUAAUGAUGUGCGUCGAGUUGGAAUGUAAUGUAGGUAUGGGAUCGUUGGCUUCAUGAAGAAAUGGAGCUGGAUUUGGAUAAGAGUAUUUAAGAAAGCG